UUUUUCAUUCUUAAAGCCAAUAAUUCCGGGUUCCUGCACCUCCGCUUUCCUUUCUUUCUUCUUGCCUGAGAAAACCCACAAAUAAUCCCAUUAAAAAUCCUGCUCGACCUCUUUUUUCCUUUCCCCCAUGAAAAAUCAAAUUUACACCUUUUUGAUUUUUUCUAUGUGAAUUCUUAGCUAAUAUUGCUGUAUCGGUGGCCUUGAUAUGUAAUUGGUGCUUUGUAGGGUAAUUUGCAAGUUGCAAAUUUAUAUGCUGGUACCGACAGUGUAGAGCUCAAAGGCAUGAAAUAAUUGCUGAAUUGAAUUAUUUCUUAAGGCAUUGUAUCUGCAAGUUGCAAGUGUAUAUUCUUUUCUCAAAGAAGCCGUUCCUGGCAUUUUUAGAAUCCACCGGCUACUCUCAAGAAGAUGUGCUCCUUCAGAAGCCCAAAGCUGGGUAGUACCUUUCCUCUCUUUUAUUUUGCAUGAUGGUGGGAUAAGCAAUUUGGUUCUGGUUUUUGCAUAUUGUGGGAUGGUUGUUGCUGCUCGUUGGAUUGCUAAGCUCAACACUUCAUCCUUGCUUAAGGCUCUCAAUGACUAUCCUGACUACAAAGUUAAGGCUUCUAGGAUCACUUAGUGUACAAAGGACACCAAAUGUUCUUGUACAAAAGAGAACAAAUAUCUGCUACAGAUUUGUGGGGUGCAUUUCAAGCCAAGGAUAUGGAGAAUUUAAUGACAUUAGAUCCAUUACUAUUAUGGUCGAUUAUAUUGUUCCAGCAGUUCUUCAACAACUUGGCAUGCUGAAAUACAGUUCAAAGCUUGCCAAAUUGAUUGUGGCUAAUAAUGAAAUAGAUUCAGGCAGUGAGGAGGAAGUUAAGCUAUGGACUUGCUCCAUAUAUGCUGUGGAGAGGAUGAAGGAGUUGAUCAGUAAAAAAUCAGGGAAGUAGGUGCUGAGCAAUUUAGUACUUGUAUAUUUCCUUUUGGUAUUUCAAUGAUUUUCACUCUUUUUGUUUAGAUCAAUCUAUGUCCUAUUUUUUUUCUUUUCCUUUUUUUUUUUUUCCCAGUAGUAUAUAUAAUCUUUCUCUUUGUUUUCUCAGUGUUUUCCCGUUAUUUUUAUUUAUUUAUUUAUUUAUCUAGUUGUUUAAAUCAU